rnacentral:rRNA from 1 species
UACGUAGGGGGCAAGCGUUACCCGGAUUCACUGGGCGUAAAGCGGGUGUAGGCGGCUCGGUAAGUCGGGUGUGAAAUCCCACGGCUCAACCGUGGAAUUGCGCCCGAAACUGCUGAGCUUGGGGCCGGUAGAGGGAGACGGAACUGCCGGUGUAGGGGUGAAAUCCGUAGAUAUCGGCAGGAACGCCGGUGGGGAAGCCGGUCUCCUGGGCCGCGCCCGACGCUGAGGCCCGAAAGCUAGGGGAGCAAACCGG